AAGAACGCAGCGAAAAUGCGAUACCUAGUGUGAAUUGCAGAAUUCCGUGAAUCAUCGAGUUUUUGAACGCAAGUUGCGCCUGAGGCUCGUACGAGGGCAUGUCUGUCUGAGCGUCCA
rnacentral:rRNA from 1 species